rnacentral:rRNA from 1 species
UACGAAGGGAGCUAGCGUUGUUCGGAAUCACUGGGCGUAAAGCGCACGUAGGCGGAUGUGUCAGUCAGGGGUGAAAUCCCGGAGCUCAACUUCGGAACUGCCUUUGAUACAGCACGUCUUGAGUCCGAUAGAGGUGGGUGGAAUUCCUAGUGUAGAGGUGAAAUUCGUAGAUAUUAGGAAGAACACCGGUGGCGAAGGCGGCAGUCCUGGACCAUUACUGACACUGAAAAGCGAAAGCCAGGGGAGCAAACGGGA